rnacentral:rRNA from 1 species
CAGUAUCCGCGGUAAUACGAAGGGUGCAAGCGUUAAUCGGAAUUACUGGGCGUAAAGCGUGCGUAGGCGGUGAGUUAAGUCUGCUGUGAAAUCCCCGGGCUCAACCUGGGAAUGGCAGUGGAUACUGGCUCGCUAGAGUGUGUCAGAGGAUGGUGGAAUUCCCGGUGUAGCGGUGAAAUGCGUAGAGAUCGGGAGGAACAUCAGUGGCGAAGGCGGCCCCCUGGGCCAAUACUGACGCUCAUGCACGAAAGCGUGGGGAGCAAACAGGAUUAGAUACCCCGGUAGUCCCUGUCUCUUAUAC